CAUAUCAAUAAGCGGAGGAAAAGAAACCAACAGGGAUUGCCCUAGUAACGGCGAGUGAAGCGGCAAUAGCUCAAAUUUGAAAUCUGGCUUUGGCCCGAGUUGUAAGUUGCAGAGAGAAGUUUCUGGCAAGGCGCCUUCUGAGUCCACUGGAACGUGGCGCCCUAGAGGGUGAGAGCCCCGUAUAGUUGGAUGCCAAGCCUGUGUGAAGCUCCUUCGACGAGUCGAGUAGUUUGGGAAUGCUGCUCUAAAUGGGAGGUAAAUUCCUUCUAAAGCUAAAUAUGGGCCCGAGACCGAUAGCGCACAAGUAGAGUGAUCGAAAGAUGAAAAGUACUUUGAAAAGAGAGUCAAAUAGCACGUGAAAUUGUUGAAAGAGAAGGAUUUGUGACCAGACUUGUGCUGCGCGGAUCUCCCGGUGUUCUCACCGGUGUACUCCGCGCGGUUCAGGCCAGCAUCGGUUUCCGAUGGGGGACAAAAGCAGUGGGAACGUAGCUCCCACGGGAGCGUUAUAGCCCGCCGCAGAAUACCCCAUUGGGGACCGAGGCCCGCGUUUUCACGGAUGCUGGCAUAAUGGUGACUAAUCACCCGUCUUGAACCCCCGGACCAUUUUUCCCUCCGCUGUU
rnacentral:rRNA from 1 species